GGUAUGCGGUGUGAUGCAGCCCUCUAUUCCUAAGAAGAGCAGACUGUCACCAGUAGGCAGCAGUUCUGCAAUGCACUGCGGUCAAUCCCUAAUGUGUAGCAGAAGAGGAGGUGUAUGCUGACCCGGAAGGAUUCCAACUGCAGUCAAGAAGAGAAGAGGAGGAUGCGCAGCCAGCAGCCAAGCCCAGCCCAGUCCGCCCCAGCCCCAGCCCAGGAGGGGAUCCAGCUCAGCCCAACGCAGCCCAGCCCAGCCGAGGUUCCAAUUCCACUACCAGGAAGCAUAACAGAGAAGCAUUUUGAAUUUAUUUCUUUCCUUCUGUCUCUUCUCUGUCUUCAGCACUUCCCUAAUCUAACAGAACUAACCAUCCCCUACCCCUAACAUUCAUUUUGUUGUAAUUUCAUUGAAUUUGUGUGCUUUGUUUCAUUGUUUUGUAUUUUUACUAAUCUCGUCUCAGUUGUAUAUUUUCAGGCACUCGGACGUGGUACAACGCGGGAGCACCCAGCCAGCCAGCCGCCCAGCCACAGAUGAAGAGGAAGGAGCCCAUCGCCCAGCUUUGUCUAGCAGCCAACAUUGGCCAAGGCG